UACAGAGGGUGCAAGCGUUGUUCGGAAUUAUUGGGCGUAAAGCGCGUGUAGGCGGCUUUGCAAGUCGGGUGUGAAAGCCCUCGGCUUAACCGAGGAAGUGCGCCCGAAACUGCAGAGCUUGAGUACCGGAGAGGAUGGCGGAAUUCCCCAAGUAGAGGUGAAAUUCGUAGAUAUGGGGAGGAACACCGGUGGCGAAGGCGGCCAUCUGGACGGAUACUGACGCCGAGACGCGAAAGCGUGGGGAGCAAACAGG
rnacentral:rRNA from 1 species